GCGACCCCAUUUCAGAUGGGAUUACCCGCUGAGUUUAAGAAUAUCAAUAAGUGGAGGAAAAUAAACUUUCAAAUGGUGAGAGAACCAAGAAUAACACAGCCUUAGAAUCGGGUUGCUCCGUCAUUUGAAUUAUAGUCUGGAGAAGCGUCCUCAUCGGCGGACCAGCCUUAAGUCCUCUGGAAGGGGGAUCCAGAUAGGGUGAGAGCCCCGUUGUGCCUGGAACCUAUCGCACCAUGAGGCACUAUCUACGAGUUGGUCUUUAGGGGAAUAUAGCCCAAAUCAGGCAGUGAAUUCCAUCCAAGUCUAAAUACGGGCGAGAUACCGAUAGCAAACAAGCACCGUGAAGGAAAGAUGAAAAAGACUUUGAAAAGUGAGUUAAAGAGCGCUUGAAAUUGUCGGGAGGGAAGCAGAUGGGUGCCAGCGAUGCACCCCGGUUAGAUGUGGAACAGCGACGAGUCGGUCCAUCAAUCCACUCGGGGCGUGGACCAGCAUGGAUUGGGGGCGACCAAAGCCCGGGCUCUCGAUAUGCUCAUGUAAUGUCGUCUCCUCGAUUGUGGAAGGCAGAGCACACCUUCAACGUGCUUCGACAUCUGCGCACUUCGGACAGUGCCCUGUGGUCUCCCCAUUUGACUCAUCUUAAAACACGAAACAAGGAGUCUAAUAUGUGUGCAAGUCAACAGGCGAGUAAACCCGUCAGGCACAAGAAAAAUGAUUGGUGGGUUCCUCCUGAGGGGUGCACCACCGACUGAGUGUGAGCAUACGUGUCGGGACCCAAAAGAUGGUGAACUAUGCCUGAGCGGGGACAAUCCAUAGGAAACUCUGGUGGAGGCCCACAAUGAUACUGACGUGCUAAUUGCUUGUCUGACUUGGGUAUAGGGGCAAAAGACUAAUCGAACCGUCUAGUAGCUAGUUCCCUCAAAAGUUUCCCUUAGGAUAGCUGGAUCUCAUGUGCAAGUUCUAUUGGGUAAAGCCAAUGAUUAGAGGCCUCAGGGGAGCAACACCCUCGACUUAUUCUAAAACUUUAAAUAGGUAGGACGGGGCGGAUACUUUGUUGAGCCGCGCCACGAAAUCAGGAGAUCCAAAUGGGAAAUUUUCGGUAAGCAGAAAUGGCAAUGCGGGAUGAACCGGAAGCUGGGUUACAGUGCCAAACUGCUCACUAACCUAGAUCCCACAAAGGGUGUUGGUUGAUUAAGACAGCAAGACGGUGGUAAUCAAAUUCAAAAUCCGCUAAGGAGUGUGUAACAACUCAACUGCCGAAUCAACUAGCCCCAAAAAAGGAUGGCGCUUAAGAACGAGACCUACACCCAACCGUCAGGGCAAGUGUCAGGCCCCGAUGAGGAGGAAGUCAUAGCGAUCGCUGCAAAACCUUGGGCUCAAUCCUGAGCAGAGCGACCAUCGGUGUAGAUUUUGGUGGUAGUAGCAAAUAUUCAAAUGAGAACUUUGAAUGCCGAAGAAGGGAAAGGUUCCAUAUGAACGACACUUGCACAUGGGUUAGUUGAUCCUAUGGUUCGGGGGAACCCCGACAGAGAGCACGUUUCAUGAGUACUCCGAAAGAAUAUUGGGUUAAAAUUCCUUAACCAGGAUGUGGCAGACGACAACAACAUUGGAAAGUCCGGAGAUGUCAGUGGGAGCCUCAGGAACAGUUAUCUUUUCUGUUAAACAGCCUACCCAUCCUGGAAUCAGCUCAGCCGGAGGUAGGGUCCAGCUGCCGAAAUAGUACCGCACGUCGUGUGGUGUAUGGUGUGCUCCCAGUGCCCCUUGAAAAUCCAAAAGACCGAAGGUCGUCCACUCUUGGUCGUACUCAUAACCACAUUAGGUCUCCAAGGUGAAAAGCCUCUUGUCAAUGGAACAUUGUAGGCAACGAAAGUCAGCAAACUGGAUCAGUAAAUUUGGGAAAAGUAUUGGCUCUGAGGGCUAGGCAUGGGGGUCCCAGUCCCAAAUUUGUCGGAAGUCGGUGGACUGCUCGAGCUGCUCCAGCGGUGAGAGCAGUUCACCGCAUGCCAGUCGGGGGACGGACUGGGAACGAUUCCUUCAGGGGCCUUCCCCGCUGGUUGAACAGCCUACUCAGAACUGGUAUGGACAAUGGGAAUCCAACUUUUUAAUUAAAACAAAGCAUUGCGAUGGUCCCAAUGGAUGUUCACAUAAUUUGAUUUCUGCCCAGUGGUUUGAAUGUCAAAGUGAAUAAAUUCAACCAAGCGCGGGUAAAUGGCGGGAGUAACUAUGACUCUCUAAAGGUAACCAAAUGCCUCGCCAUUUAAUUAGUGACGCGUCUGAAAGGAUUAAUGAUAUUCCCACUGUCCCUGUCUACUAUCCUGCGAAACCACGGCUAAUGGAACGGGCUUGGCAGAAUCAGCGGGGAAAGAAGACCCUUUUGAGCUUGACUUUAGUUCGACUUUGUGAAAUGACUUAAGAGGUGUAGUAUAAGUGGGAUCCAAAAGGCAAAAGUGAAAUACCACUACUUUUAAUGUUAUUUUACUUAUUUUGUGAAUCGGGAGCAGGGCACUGCCCAUCUUUUUGGACCCAAAGCUCGCUCUUCGGGAUGAUCCAGGUGGAAGACAGUGUCAGGUGUGGAGUUUGGCUACAAAGGCACAUCUAUUGAAAAAGAUGCAGGUAUCCUAAGAUGAGCUCAACGAGAGCAGAAAUCUUUUGUGGAAUAGAAGGGUAAAAGAUCAUUUGAUUCUGAUUUCCAGUACGAAUACGAACCUUGAAAGUAUGGCCUAAUGAUCCUUUAGAACUUCGAAAUUCAAAGCUAGAGGUGUCAGAAAAGUUACCACGGGGAUAAAUGGAUUCUGGAAGCCAAGCGUUCAUAGUGAUGUUGCUUUUUGAUUGUUAAGAAUAAUUCACCAAGUAUUGGAUUGUUGACCCACCAAUACGGAACGUGAGAUGGGUUUAGACCGUUGUGAGACAGGUUAGUUGUACCCUACCGAUGAUAGUGUCGCAAUAGUAAUUCAAUCUAGUAUUAGAAGAACUGUUGAUUAACAUAAUUGGUCAUUGCGUUGGGUUGAAAAGCUAAUGGCGCGAAGCUAUCGUGUGCUGGAUUAUGAUUGAACGCCUCUAAGUUAGAAUCUGGGCUAGAAGUGAUGCAUGUGCUCGCCGUCCGCUUUCUGACCCACAGUAGGGUCCUUGGCCCUCAAGGAAACAUGUCGUUUGCUAAGCCACCGCGGUAGAAAGUUCAUGGUAGCCACCAUGAAGUACAAUUUGCAUCGAACAGUGGGUAGAAUCCUUUGCAA
rnacentral:rRNA from 1 species